CAGCCGCCACGGUAGUACGUAGGGUGCAAGCGUUAAUCGGAAUUACUGGGCGUAAAGCGUGCGCAGGCGGUGAUGUAAGACAGUUGUGAAAUCCCCGGGCUCAACCUGGGAACUGCAUCUGUGACUGCAUCGCUGGAGUACGGCAGAGGGGGAUGGAAUUCCGCGUGUAGCAGUGAAAUGCGUAGAUAUCAAGAGGAACACCUGAGGCGAAGGCGGGUUGCUGGGCCGACACUGACGCUGAUGCGCGAAAGCCAGGGGAGCAAACGGGAUUAGAUACCCCGGUAGUCCCUGUCUCUUAUAC
rnacentral:rRNA from 1 species